GUUGACUUGUGAACCGACCGGUGAACCGCGAGCAACUUUCGAGUGGAACUAACCGCUGAUUCUUCAGUGACAAACUUAGCUUGGGCUACAAAAAAAGUGACUCUGUGACUUUUUAAAAAGUUGUCAGGACGUAAAUGAUAGGAAGACAUUUUAGACGAUAAGUGGCCAGACCUGUCAAACACCUGUAUACAGGUGGAGGUUAGCAAACCGGAGCGUCCAUUACAGCUCACAGCACGAUGAGCGGCAUCAAAGUGUCAGUUGGAGAAAGAGAGUCACCAAGAGCAGAAGAGGAUAAGAGAGGCUCCCCAUCUGGAUGGAAGACAGUCCUCUGUGUGCCUGAUUAAUGGUGUGGAGAGACAGUUGCCAGUUCUGAAGCCUUGCUGUCUGGCCCAGGUCAAAACUUCCAGAAGGCAACCUAAUGCAGUCUGCUUUGGUUUCCAUCUUCUUCUAAACUGUUUAUUGCAGUCGUGUAAGAAGCAUAAAGAUUCUCGGGAAUAAUGAACUCACUAUUAAGCAACUUUUUGUGCUGUUGAGAAAUGUAUUUGUGUGCAUAUUUUUCUGUCCACUAAGCUCUACACAACGAUUCAAGACAAGUGAAGAAUGACAAAGAGUUUCUCGAGCCAAAAUUAAUGCAUUGACUUGACCUCGAGGGGUCAAGGUGUUGAGGGGUAAAAAGAACAUUACUGCUGCUCAUGCACCACCUUUUUUUCUUUUCUCCUGUUUAACUUUUAACAUGAGUUGGGCUGCACAAUUAAUCCAAUAUUAAUGUCACGAUUUUUGGCUUUUCCCACUUAAAUGAG
ensembl:lncRNA